rnacentral:tRNA from 1 species
GGGCGGUUAGCUCAGCGGUAGAGCACUGGCCUUACACGCCGGCUGUCACAGGUUCGAAUCCUGUAUCGCCCA